rnacentral:rRNA from 1 species
CCCUUAGAUGUUCUGGGCUGCACGCGCGCUACAUUGAAGCUAUCAACACGUUUUCCCUCCCUGAGAAGGGCGGGUAACCUUUUGAAUCAGCUUCGUGGUAGGGAUCGGGGCUUGCAAUUGUUCCCCGUGAACCAGGAAUUCCUAGUAGACGCGAGUCAUAAGCUCGCAUCGAUUAAGUCCCUGCCCUUUGUACACACCGCCCGUCGCUACUACCGAUUGAACGUUUUAGUGAGGCAUUUGGACCGACGCAUCUCAGUUUAACCGCUGGUUUGUGUUGGAAAGACUUCCAAACUUGAGCGUUUAGAGGAAGUAAAAGUCGUAACA